GUGGAGCAAUCCAUGAGUAAAGUGGCGCACGGGUGAGUAACACGUGACUAACCUACCCUUGAGUGGGGAAUAACUUCGGGAAACCGAGGCUAAUACCGCAUAACACCUACGGGUCAAAGGAGCAAUUCGCUUAAGGAGGGGGUCGCGGCAGAUUAGUUAGUUGGCGGGGUAAUGGCCCACCAAGACAGUGAUCUGUAUCCGGCCUGAGAGGGCGCACGGACACACUGGAACUGAAACACGGUCCAGACUCCUACGGGAGGCAGCAGUGGGGAAUUUUGCGCAAUGGGGGAAACCCUGACGCAGCAACGCCGCGUGGAGGAUGAAGUCUCUUGGGACGUAAACUCCUUUCGAUCGGGACGAUAAUGACGGUACCGAGAGAAGAAGCCCCGGCUAACUUCGUGCCAGCAGCCGCGGUAAUACGAGGGGGGCGAGCGUUGUUCGGAAUUAUUGGGCGUAAAGGGUGCGUAGGCGGUUCGGUAAGUCUUGUGUGAAAUCUUCGGGCUCAACUCGAAGUCUGCACGAGAAACUGCCGGGCUUGAGUGUGGGAGAGGUGAGUGGAAUUUCCGGUGUAGCGGUGAAAUGCGUAGAUAUCGGAAGGAACACCUGUGGCGAAAGCGGCUCACUGGACCACAACUGACGCUGAGGCACGAAAGCUAGGGGAGCAAACAGGAUUAGAUACCCUGGUAGUCCUAGCCCUAAACGAUGAUCGCUUGGUGUGACGGGUACCC
rnacentral:rRNA from 1 species